rnacentral:rRNA from 1 species
AUUGAACGCUGGCGGCAUGCCUUACACAUGCAAGUCGAGCGCGAAAGGGGGCAACCCCGAGUAGAGCGGCGAACGGGUGAGUAACACAUCGGAACGUGCCCAGUAGUGGGGGACAACCUCGAGAAAUCGAGGCUAAUACCGCAUACGACCCACGGGUGAAAGCGGGGACCGCAAGGCCUCGCGCUAUUGGAGCGGCCGAUGUCCGAUUAGCUAGUUGGCGGGGUAANAGCCCACCAAGGCGACGAUCGGUAGCUGGUCUGAGAGGACGACCAGCCACACUGGGACUGAGACACGGCCCAGACUCCUACGGGAGGCAGCAGUGGGGAAUUUGGACAAUGGGGGCAGCCCUGAUCCAGCCAUGCCGCGU